GGGGAAGACAGCGUGAGAGAGGGGAGUGAUUGGGAUCUGGCUCGAUGUUGGAAUUCCAGCAUUGACAUUGAAGCAGCCGAAAGAGGUUUCUGAAUCCGUUGAUCUUUGGCGACUAUCCGAGCUCCAUGAGAAAAACAAGGUCUCCCCUGGUUCUGUUUCUUGUUUAUGCAGCAUUCAAAGCAUUGGAGAAAGGGUAGGGUGCAGUGCAGCUCCUGUGAAAUCUGGUCAAUCUGAAAGGAUAUUUCGUUGGAUAAUUGGGAGUGGACGGCUGGUUUCAGUUCAAGGUAUUUGCACGGUACGUUACAGACAUCUUAACACUAUUAUCUGAAGAACAUCGAAAGAAAAUCCUUCACUAUGCCUUCCGUCAUCCGGUUGCUCGUGGUAUAUUAGAAAACUCGAAGGAUGAGAUUAACGUUCACCUUAUUUUUAUACUAACAUUGCAUACGAAGAUAUUUUUUGAAGUUGUUCGUAGAUUUAAUCAAUGUAUCCAACCAGCGCCACAAUCAUAUACGAUUCAUGGCUUGUGGUCUCAAGAUGGAGGGACCUCUGCACAAAAUUGUCGGGGAACUUCCUUUUCGUCGGAACGGUAAAACUAAAACAACCAAAUAUCUUAAAUUUUCCUUUAUGAACCAUGCAUCGACUCUAUUCUAACAAUUCAACCUAGUGUUUAAACACUCACUACAUAUUUUUAAACUUAAAAGAAAAAUUAAUGGCUAAAUAUAUA